AGAACCGCAUUUCUGUCUGUUAGGAAUGUUUCCUUUACAGCUGUGGGGAGCUGAGGAGAAAUCCUCAGUUCUCAGAAGCAAAUUAUCUGACAGCACAAGAUUUAUGGACGCCCUGUUUAGGGGAACUUUCAUCUUGACUGUGUGCUCAUUACAGGUAAGUGGUGACAGCAGGUGCUGCAGAUUCACAACGUGAUGGGUUUUUGUUUCCUGACAAAUAGAUUCUGCACAGUUUUUAAGAGAAUUGAAAUUAUUUGUGUUUUACUUCUGUGUUGAGUUCUACCGUUAGGCAAAAGGGGGAAAAACAAAAAAAAAAAAAAAAAAAAAGAAAACUCAGCUGUGGUAUCUUUGUCUGCAUGGGUCUAGAUAUGCCCUCUGUUCUGUGCAAGCUUGUAAUUCCAAUGCGCUGUAGUAGAACCAUAAUGACAUGUUGAAAUGUGCCUCAGGCAAGUCAUGCUUCUCAGAGCACUGGUCCUGCUUUUCAGUACUUCGAUUAACCUAGAUGUUACUGUGAGGAGCCAAAUACACUGCAACUCAUGAAUGCAAUAAAAAGUGACAGGUUGGAAGGAGAUUAAUGCCCGUGUUGAUGAAUGGACAUAAAAAUCAUAGUUGCAAAUACUGAUUUCCUCCUUAGGAAUAAUAAUAAUAAAAAAAAAUAAUGGAUAAGAAUGAGUUGUGAACAUUAGGUAUAAAUUCUGCAUUGAUUUUGAAAUAAAUUCUUCAGAGGAGGGAUACAGAGUAAAUAGGUGUGCAGUGAGCACAAAAGAACUCAUCAGCAGAAUAGCUUUGAUUUGGGCUGGGAAGAUGGAGUUAAACCAAGAGCAAGGUUUUGGUUGAGCAGUAAAAUUCCGCUAGUAAAAUACAGCAGGGCUUGAAAAUGAAAGAUGUGAGGUUGAAUGGAAACACAGGUUUCCCUAAUUUACACAGGUCCAACAGAGCAACAUUCCUUCACAGGGAGAAGUUUUCAGUCUGGCACCAGCAUGCAGCACGAAAAACUGCAAGAGAACAGAGUUUCUUCUUUGUUACCUGCAAACUGAAUUUAAUUCAUUCAGUCCAAACCACACGACUCAUGCAGUCAACAGAUGCACACUGACAAUGUGCAUGUAAAAACAUCCAACAAACUCAAAAGAAACAAGAUAUUAGAGAAUGGUUUAAAGAAACUUAGGUUGGAGGGCAGUAGUGAGAGCCCAGCACUGCUGUAAUGGAAAAGGCAGUGACACAAUGCACGCAGAGCACUCCUCUAUCAUUUCCUAUGCAGCAGCUACGUGCUUCUGGGAGGAAUGACAACGUCUCACUUCUAUUCAACAGAUGAAUGACAGUUUAAGUUCAUAAGUUGCUGAUUCUAAAUCUUUUGCUAGCUUCUCUCCUUUCCCUCUCCGCUUUUAAACUUUCUACCUUUUGGGCAAGACCCAGAAGCAAUCUUGCUGCAGUUCUUUCUGCAUGCUGUUGUUUCAUCUCUGGAUUUAGUAGUAGAGCAUGGGGAGAUCAAGAACUGAGCUGAACAUUCUGCACUGGGGUGUCAUGUUGGCUUUGCUAAAGACUUCAUUCCAAUUGCUUUCCUGUAAUUUUGAAGAUGUUUUAAUUCAUCUACCUAGAACUUGUGUAAACAUGCAUGUAUUAUAGAAAAAGAGCCAAACAAAGCAUCACAGACCUUUUUUCUAAGCACAGCUCUCGAUAAAUCUCCCAGAAAGCACAGUGAAAAGAUUGAGAUGCCACCCUUGUAAACGUGCCAUGCUUCAAACUGCAAUAGCAUGGUAUGACCAUCUUGCCCCAAAAUAAUGAACAACCCUUUAAAUAUUUAGCAUAUGUUACAGUGAAUUUCAUUUGUGUCUCAAAUACAGAAUAUGCACGGAGAUGUGCAGACUUUUUUUUCCAGGUCUACCUCAUUGUGUACCUACCUGCUGAACCCGCAUGCUCCCAUGCAGCAGCCUUCAUGGUUUGCACUGCUAGGAAGUCUACUUCAGUCUGAAAGAUUUACUAUGUAAUCAGACUGACUAUUUAAUUGUUUAAAGUGUAUCUAGUAAUCUCAGUUCACAAGGGCAGCAGCUAUGCAGAAAAUACAGGAUAAUUCCUCUUAUCUGCCUUCAGUUUAUGUCCUACAGUCAAUCGCGAUCAAAGUCAAGUGGUAUGGAAACACAAACCCUUAGCCUUCUGUGCUAUAAAACCAGCUCUCCUUUCUGUCUCCUUUGGAAGACAAGCCAGGCACAUCUGUGUGUCAAACUGCAUGGUCUGGUAAAACAGCCCAUUUAAACUCAGCUUGUGAGAUGUAGCUCUUAGAUCAGGUGCAUAGAGGGCUGUCAAGCCAAACUAAAAGCCAGCUAACUGCUUGGUAGCACCCAUAAAUGCAGCAUAGAAAAGAAUCAGUUGAACCACAGACUGCCUCACUUCAAUCAGAAGCUGGGCAGGGACACCAAGCAACUGAGUUUCAGGGAAGCUUGCUUGCUACCUUGGGAAAGUGGCAGUUCUUCACAAGGCAAAACUUUCUUCCUCUUGAUGAAGGUAAGGAGAAAUUCUGUCCUCAAGGCAGACUCCAAAUGUGCUCUUCCUUUUUGGCUCUGGAAGAGGAAGGGCAUCUUGGAGGUCAUCAUUGGAGCUUGACUUCACUCUUGGCUUUUUUAUCCUUGUAAAAUUUUCUCUUGGACAAUUCUAAGUAUCAUUCCUCAUGGAUUACUGAUAUCCACUGCUAGAAUCUUCCCAGGCUUCUUUUUACUUACUAAUUCAAAUGCUCUGUUAGGUUUUCUGCAGAGUACUAGCCGCUCAGACCAAGUAUCUGCACUGAUGAAACCAAAUUGCAGAGAAUGAUUUAAUGCUAAAAUAAAAGUAGCUGCGGAAUAAACCCUGCAAAUAUAAACAACUGUGAUCCAAAUCCAGGAAAUAGAAGUUUGAAUAAAGCCUGAACUUCUGAGCUCUUAGCAAGGGUUGACAUGCCCUACUGAAAUUAUUUGAGUACAUCUUCAGGCCUACAGUAGCUUCCUUAAAACAAACAAAUGUAAUAAUAAUAAUUAAAAUUUAAAAAAAAAAAAAAAAGGCAGCUCUGUGUUUAGAUUCUUUACCGCAUGCAAUUCCAGUGUUAGCUCCUAAUACUGAAUGCCAUUACCAGGCACAUAAAACAAGCUCAGUGUGGGAAUUGCUAGUUUUCUAAAGCGAUAAAGCAAAAGGAAAGGCUCCUUUUACCAUCUUAAAGCUCAGUAAAAAAAUGUACUUUCACGAUAAACAUACAGAGCAGAAAGGGCUUCAAGCUUUAAGAUUUUUUGGGGGUACUGGGGAGUUAACAAAACUUAAAGAAGAACUUGUGUAAGCAUCUGAUGCCUCCUUGCUACAUUGCGAACUCCAACCAGUUUUCAGUGCAAUCUGUGAGGCUUGUGGAUUCCCCAGAUCAAAACCCCAACUUCUUAGAGAAAGAAUGAGGUUGAAGAGAAGGAAGGAGGAGUGGGGCUUACCACAGGCUGUGAGCAUCCCAUCCAGAGUCUUGAAUCAGUGCCCACACACUGAGUGCGUUGUUGGCCUUUUAAACUGGUGUUAUGUAAAUACAUUAUGUUAUAUUUAUCUUAAGCUGCUGCAGUCUAUAAAUAUUCAAGUGUCUGCUGCCAUUUUUAUGAAUGUAAGUAAGACCCAUGUUGCACUAAUGGCAGUUACGUUUUCAAUCACAGAUGGGGAAGAAUCUCAAGAGACACUUAAAAGCAUGGAGGGUAUUAAACAUCCAAUAAGCAAAAAAUCCUAAGGCUUAAAGAAGGAAAAUAACAAGUUUUAAAGGGAACAUUGCAGGUAACCAACUCUGCAAAUAUACUUUCUGCACCACAAUCACAGUAAGCUGGAAACUUCUCUCUCAUCUGAACAUCCUUUUUACUCUACAGUAGAAACAAUGAGGAGAAUAAUUUACUUUCAUGAAAAUCCUACUGAGCGUGAAUGAGCAAAACAGAGAGAACUCUCCUUAGCUGGGAUCGUGGUGUGCUGUGCCUCACUUCAGAUUGCCACACUGACCUCGAUGUUUAGGAAGGAUACCAUUAUUUAAAAAUAAUUCCAGUAUGCCAUGGAUGGCAUUUGCUAUCAGCAGGGUGCUCAGAGAUCCUACACUUUGAAGGAAGACACGGUCAUUGAAUUACCAUGAUGUACAUACUCCUUACUGUUUUUGGACACUUGGCAAUCUGAUACGAUUUAUCUGUGCAGAAAACUUCCUGGAUUGGAACAGCAUCACUGUAAGGUGUUCCCCAAAAGAGAGUUCAAAGCUGAUUGAUUGACAUACAAAGAAAAUUGCUGUAAUAGACAACAAAACAGAUGUAAAAACUCUAGGCCAGCAUCUUGCUCUCUGGAAAAAGUUACAGUAGCUG
ensembl:lncRNA